rnacentral:tRNA from 5 species
GGGCCCUUAGCUCAGCUGGCUAGAGCGCUUCCAUGGCAUGGAAGAGGCCACCGGUUCGAAUCCGGUAGGGUCCACCA